UGGGUCCCAUGGGGUCCUAUAGGGUUCUGUGGGUCCGGUGGGUCCUAUAGGGCUGGAGGUUCUGUGGGUGCUGUGGGUCCCAUAGCGUUGUGUGUCCUAUGGGGCCCUAUAGGGUUCUGUGGGUCUUAUGGGGUCCUAUAGGGUUCUGGGGGGUUCUGUGGGUCCUGUGGGGUCCUAUAGGGUUCUAUGAGGUUCUGUGGGAUCCUAUAGGGUUCUAUGGGGUUCUGUGGGUCCUGUGGGGUCCUAUAGGGUUCUAUGGGGUUCUGUGGGUCCUGUGGGGUCCUAUAGGGUUCUAUGGGGUUCUGUGGGUUCUAUGGGGUUCUGUGGGUCCUGUGGGGUCCUAUAGGGUUCUGUGGGGUUCUGUGGGUCCUGUGGGGUCCUAUAGGGUUCUGUGGGGUCCUGUGGGUCCUGUGGGGUCCUAUAGGGUUCUAUGGGGUUCUGUGGGGUUCUGUGGGUCCUAUAGGGCUGGAGGUUCUGUGGGUGCUGUGGGUCCCAUAGCGUUGUGUGUCCUAUGGGGUCCUAUAGGGUUCUGUGGGUCUUAUGGGGCCCUAUAGGGUUCUGUGGGGUUCUGUGGGGUUCUGUGGGUCCUGUGGGGUCCUAUAGGGUUCUGUGGGGUUCUGUGGGUCCUGUGGGGUCCUAUAGGGUUCUGUGGGGUUCUAUGGGUCCUGUGGGGUCCUAUAGGGUUCUAUAGGGUUCUGUGGGUCCGGUGGGUCCUAUAGGGCUGGAGGUUCUGUGGGUGCUGUGGGUCCCAUAGCGCUGUGUGUCCUAUGGGGCCCUAUAGGGUUCUGUGGGUCUUAUGGGGCCCUAUAGGGUUCUGUGGGUCUUAUGGGGUCCUAUAGGGUUCUGGGGGAUUCUGUGGGUCCUGUGGGGUCCUAUAGGGUUCUAUGAGGUUCUGUGGGAUCCUAUAGGGUUCUAUGGGGUUCUGUGGGUCCUGGGGGGUCCUAUAGGGUUCUGGGGGGUUCUGUGGGUCCUGUGGGGUCCUAUAGGGUUCUGUGGUGUCGCAGGGUGACGCAGGGACCUCAUAGAGACCCAAAGGGGGUCGGUGGCACCCCAUAGGGACCCCAUAGGGACCCCAUAGGGGAACACCCAUAGGGUGACACCGGGACCCCAUAAAGACCCCAUAGGGGGACACUGGGACCCCAUAGGGACCCCAUAGAGACACCUGUAGGGUGACGCCAGGACCCCAUAGGGACCCCAUAGCGACCUCACGGCUGCCCCAUAUUGGGACGCCCAGAGGGGCCCCAUAGGGGGACUCCCAUAGGGUGACAGCGGGGCACAAAUAGGGUCACCCGUAGGGACCCCAUAGGGGGACUCCCAUAGGGUCAUGUAGGGGCUUUACAUGGGGUCAGCCCAUGGGGGACCCUAUAGCGACCCCAUAGCAGCCCCACACGGACCCCAUAUAAGGACCCUAAAUAGGGACCCCAUAGGGUGACACCGGGACCCCAUAGGGACCCCAUAGGGUGGCGCCAGGACCCCAUAGGAACACCAUAGGGACCCCAUAGGGGGACACCCAUAGGGGGACACCAGGACCCCAUAGGGACCCCAUAGGGUGACACCGGGACCCCAUAGGAACCCCUUAGGGGGCCA
ensembl:lncRNA